rnacentral:tRNA from 1 species
GGCUGGUUAGCUCAGUCAGUUGAGUGUAGCGCUAACAACACUAAGGUCGUGGGUUCGAUUCCCGUUCGGUCCU